rnacentral:rRNA from 1 species
UUAAAUGCAGUCGAACGGUNAACUCCUUCGGGAGGGGAUCAGUGGCGAACGGGUGAGUAACACGUGAGCAACCUGCCCCUAGCUCUGGGAUAACCCCGGGAAACCGGAGCUAAUACCGGAUACGAGACUGCGCGGCAUCACGCGGUCUGGAAAGUUUUUCGGCUAGGGAUGGGCUCGCGGCCUAUCAGCUUGUUGGUGGGGUAAUGGCCUACCAAGGCGACGACGGGUAGCCGGCCUGAGAGGGCGACCGGCCACACUGGGACUGAGACACGGCCCAGACUCCUACGGGAGGCAGCAGUGGGGAAUAUUGCGCAAUGGGCGAAAGCCUGACGCAGCGACGCCGCGUGAGGGAUGAAGGCCUUCGGGUUGUAAACCUCUUUCAGCAGGGAAGAAGCGAAAGUGACGGUACCUGCAGAAGAAGCACCGGCUAACUACGUGCUAGCAGCCGCGGUAAUACGUAGGGUGCAAGCGUUGUCCGGAAUUAUUGGGCGUAAAGAGCUCGUAGGCGGUCUGUCGCGUCGGAUGUGAAAAUCCAUGGCUCAACCGUGGACCUGCAUUCGAUACGGGCAGACUAGAGUUCGGUAGGGGAGACUGGAAUUCCUGGUGUAGCGGUGAAAUGCGCAGAUAUCAGGAGGAACACCGGUGGCGAAGGCGGGUCUCUGGGCCGAUACUGACGCUGAGGAGCGAAAGCGUGGGGAGCGAACAGGAUUAGAUACCCUGGUAGUCCACGCCGUAAACGUUGGGCGCUAGGUGUGGGGAACCUUCCACGUUCUCCGUGCCGCAGCUAACGCAUUAAGCGCCCCGCCUGGGGAGUACGGCCGCAAGGCUAAAGCUCAAAGGAAUUGACGGGGGCCCGCACA